rnacentral:sRNA from 1 species
CAUGAGAGAAUUAAAGGGAGGAAGGGGCAAGAAUAUAAAUUAAUCAUCUACAUGUUUUGAAUGUUUGCUGAUCCAAACAUCUGCUUGUUUCCUCUUCCCUGCUUCUCUCUUCUGCCUGCCUUGUACUGAGCUUACAUCAGUUACCCACUUAACACUUUCCUUCUAUUCAUUCUGAACACUUAUACUACUGAGUAAUUCAUGUAUCCCAUUGGAAAAAAAAAAUUCUCCCCUAAGUAGAGAUCUAAGUUUCUGAUAAAUGUUUUUACUUUUUUUCUUAUUCCGAGAUGUUUCUAAUUAACACCUGGCAGUUUUUAUUUUAUGAUCUGGCCACCUAAUGGCAUCAGGUACAUUGCAAUAAGAUAAAAGGUUCAAACAAAACAUGAACAGAAUUAAACAUUUCUUAAACUUAGUACUUGUCACAUUUAAAUGCAUCAUAUUAACAGAAGUAUUGAAUUAUAAUAGAAGUAAUGUAAGAAAGGUAUUCUUUAAAUGAGAAUGUUUAUUCAUUGUCGUUUUCUAUUCCUAGGAAUCUCUCCUAUUGGGAAAGUUAUUGCGACAUGAUUAAUGGUACAGAUGCAGCCUCAUUUCCACCUUUUGUUGAGAAAAGCCAGGUAUUGCAGUUCUUUUCUUCUGAUAUUUGCAGGUAAGACAGAUACUGAAGUAUGUCUGAGUCAGACCCCAGGUGACAAAAUGCAGACCAAGAAACUUAAACACAGCAUACGAAAUUCAUAAUGUUUAUUAACUCUUUGCAAAAUAUUCUUCUGCAUCCUCCAAUUUUUAAUAGUACAAAUCUUUUUUUUUUUUUUGCCAUUUCUAUCUAAGCAAGAACCAUUUUGCCUUUUAAAAACUAAACUAGUAGUCUAUUAACGAUCAAGUCCAGAAGGGCAUGCCCAAUCUUUCUAAAGACAUACAGAGAAGAUGAUGCAAAUGUAACAGAACUGUGUUAAUGUGCUCUGCUCAAAUUUGUGGGGCCCAGUACUGGAACCCAAGCUCUGUCCCUAAAGACUGCAUGAUUGUGGGUAGGCAUUUAACAUCUCUGAAUUUUUUUCUUAUCUGUACAAUUUAAGACAGCAGUAUUUCUUCAUAUAUGUGUAUCUGGGGAUAAGAAAAAAAUGUGUAUUGAACCCUAUGAUAGACACUUGGUAAAUGAUGGAAAUGUACCAGGUAUAUAUCCAGCAUGUAUAUGCAUACACUCCAGUGAGUAGUCUUUCUUUCCAGGAUUAAUUAAGCUGUGAAAGAAACUAUUUCAUUUAAACUGAUCACAAAUAAAGUAUUUGAAGGAAGUCCUAUAAAUAUUUACUCUAUUGGAGAAAUUGCCUGUGAGAAGUAACUUGGGUAUAAAUAAAUAUGGUACUUCACAAAUAAGAAUAGUUCAUGCUUGGCUAUUGAGUUUUAGUAUGUGUUAAAAUUUCCCAAUCAAUUACUUUUUUUCUAAGAAUGAAACAAGAAUUUAAAAGAGUAUAUGAUGUUUCUAAGUUAAAGCAAGAAUAAGAAAAAAUUAAUCUCCAGAAUGUAAGUUCAGGUUCCUGGAAUGCAGCUCUUUUUUCUCUGUAUUUAGGUCAAUCUAUGCUGUAUUUGAAUCCGACGUUAAUCUGAAAGGAAUCCCUGUGUAUAGAUUUGUUCUUCCAUCCAAGGCCUUUGCCUCUCCAGUUCAAAACCCAGACAACUAUUGUUUCUGCACAGAAAAAAUUAUCUCAAAAAAUUGUACAUCAUAUGGUGUGCUAGACAUCAGCAAAUGCAAAGAAGGGAGACCUGUGUACAUUUCACUUCCUCAUUUUCUGUAUGCAAGUCCUGAUGUUUCAGAACCUAUUGAUGGAUUAAACCCAAAUGAAGAAGAACAUAGGACAUACUUGGAUAUUGAACCUAUAACUGGAUUCACUUUACAAUUUGCAAAACGGCUGCAGGUCAACCUAUUGGUCAAGCCAUCAAAAAAAAUUCAGUGAGUCUCUUGAAAAUGGUUAUUUUGAUAUGAUCUGUAGUAUCUUCUUGUAAGAACAUGAGUAAAUCUAUGUAAGUAAGUGGAAAUAACAUCUGAUAUCAACUUACCUUUAGCUUAAUGUCACCAAUCAUUAUUAAAUGCUUAUGACAAAUUUCACCUAUGCCUUAGUACCAUAUCUCAUGUUUAUUGAAAUGGUACUUGCACAGAUUUUGGAAUGGUUUUAUGGUUUUAUUUGAGCAUUUGAUAGCAUCUCUCAUUUUGUUAGCUGCCCAAAUAUUUCUGUGACAAUAAUUUUUGGAAUUCAUAUUUUAGUUCCCCAAGAAUUUAUUGAAAGGGAAAAUCCGCACUUGGGAAAAAAAUCAAUGUGAUUAGAAGACAUAUAAGAGCAAAGAAAGUCAAAAACAACUAUAUUAAAAUUUAAAUGAGUCAUUACAGGAACAAAAUCAAAUUAGCAACAGCAACUAAUUUAUGAACAUUUAUUUUAAAGUUUGUUAUAUAUAAAUAUUAGUUUAUAUGUUCAUAAUCAUUUUCAAUGUAUAUUACAGAGUAUUAAAGAAUCUGAAGAGGAACUAUAUUGUGCCUAUUCUUUGGCUUAAUGAGGUUUGUAUUUUCAGCUGUUAGUCAUUAAAAACAAACUUCUUUGUAUAUAAACAAGCUCUUGAUGUUUCAAAAGAAUGUGUAGUAUAUAAAGCUAUAUGUAUUUCCGUUACCCAUAUACAUUUAUUAAACCUAUUUGAGAUGAUCUAAUUUCACAAAAACAUCAAGUUUGUGUUAGUUUUCAGUUUUUAGAAAACAUUUCCUAUCAUUUAAGAUUUUCUUCAAAAAUGCAUCUAUUAAACACAUUUUCUUGUUGUAACAUUUGUCUCAGGACAGUCUACCCUAUUGCCUGACAAGGUAUUUUUAGUAUAAAUCCAUGCAUUGAUAGCUAUAAAAAUAGGAAAAGCAUUGAAUAAGUCUUUGGAGCAAAUGGAACUGUUGACCCUUUGAUAGUUCUGAAGAGCAAACGAAUCCUAAUACAUUGAAGAGUACCAUACUCUAUCUAUCUCUAUCUGGCACUUAAUUUCAAAUGAAUCCUAGUACAUUGAAGAGUACCGUACUCUAUCUAUCUCUAUCUGGCACUUAAUUGCCUUUCUUGACUUGCAAAAGGAAUUCCAUUGACUUGUCUUAUAGAUACUGAUGACUAACACCAAUAGAGGUGUUAGAAAAAAGGGUGAUAGGCAAUUGAAGGGUUUAUUUUGUUUUACUAAUGUACCCAAAUAAUGUUGAUUAUUAACUUGAUUACAGACUGGGACCAUUGGUGAUGAGAAGGCAAACAUGUUCAGAAGUCAAGUAACUGGAAAAAUAAACCUCCUUGGCCUGAUAGAAAUGAUCUUACUCAGUGUUGGUGUGGUGAUGUUUGUUGCUUUUAUGAUUUCAUAUUGUGCGUGCAGAUCAAAAACAAUAAAAUAAACCUGGCUCAAGCACAAACCAAUUUCUUUGUGUCGUUCUGAUUCAAUAAUUGGUUUCUGGGUGGCCAAUUCAGAAGAAGAGUGGACAUGCUCAACAAAUCCUAGGCCCUGCAUUCCUGUCAUCCUCAUCCGGGGGAAACACCAUCAUCCUAGUAGCUGCCCUAUUCAAUUGCAACAGUCUCCAGGACCAUCAGCGUAUUGCAUUUCAUGUGCACCAAAUAUUUUGAAAGACAUUUAUAAAUAAUUGGCUUAUGACUCAUAUUUCUCUAUGAAUACCUUCAUACAGCCGGUAUAACUCUUUUCUUUAUGGACUUAUAUGUUUUGUCACUGAUCCUGCAAAUGGACAUCAUUUUAGCACACUUUAGCGGUUUAUAUUUUAAGGACCUUCAUUCUCUGUUCUGUACCUCUUUUGGAAAUCGAGUAAAUUUUGCUUUUUUUUUUUCACUCAGUUGCAACUUACACUUGGCGUCUUCAGAAUGCUUUUCUAGCAUUAAGAGAUGUAAAUGAUAAAGGAAUUAUUGUAUGAAAUAUUACAAAGCGUAGAAUAUGCAUUGUUAUUCAUUAUAAUAUUUUUUGCUAUCAUAAUUGCCUCAUAAAGACUGGUUUCAACCAUUAAAAUAUGUUCUUCCUUAAAUUCCUGUGCUUUUUCUAGUUCCUGUUGUGUCAUAAAAUGUUUAUCCUAAUUUUCUGUCUGAAGUAUAUUUUAUCUGAAUCCACAUUUCUUUAUAAAUCCAUAGUUCUUGCUGAAAUAUGCUUUCUAAAUUUCGACCACUUUGUUCUAGGCUAAUUUUUUUAAGCUAAUUGGAUGAAGAACAAAAAGACAUUUGGUUUCAUCCUCUACAGCAGUAGGACAAUUGCAAAGGUUUUUCCUUUUUCAUAAGGAGACACAUUAAUAGGUAAUUCUGCUUUUUUUAGCAGGGGUUCACUUAUUUCUGAGAGCAUUAGUCCUCCUAAAAAGCUCCAGCAUAGAAAGGGAAGACAAACCAAAUUCUAUCUAUCUUGUGUUUUACCCACAGAAGGAUACAGGACAAAGGAAUAGUAACUGGCCUGUUUGGAUACUAAAAUUGAAAAUAACUUAGCCUCCUUAUGACAGCCGCCAGGGUAAAUGUAGAGCAUUACUAUAGAAAAGCCACAAAACAAGAAUCUACCUGUUUGGAAAGAUCUUUUGCAUCUCUGAAGGUGCUUAAAGCAUACUUAGUGCCUUUCCUUUUAACUGGGAGGAUAAAAGUAUCUGUCCAAGAUAUUAAUAUGUAAGAUAACAUUGUAGACAUGUUCUUCUGAUAAUACAAGGUUUAUUCUAUUUGCAUUAGGAUAUUUGUGGACAUGUCCAUCUAAUAUAAAGUUUUUAAAUCAUUGAGACAUGUAGGGCUGAGUUAUAUAAUGUAGAAACUUCUAAAGAUAAUUGGAUGAGAAUAUACAUAUUGACCUGUAUAUUAUGACUAAUCAUGACUCAGAUCUUAAUACAGGGAUGUUCUCAUAGCAUUUAGAUAUCAGAAAAGGUUUUGACCUAUAUGUCUUUAAUAUUGUUUGAAUACGUGUAUAAUCUUUAUCAUUCCUCAGUGUUUCAUUUCUCAAAUUCUGUAAAAGGACUACAAGAGGAAAGACAAUUCAUAUACAAAGACAAUGAGAUUAAAAAUAUGCAGUAGGAAAAAUACUUAAAGAAGGGGAGAUUUUUUUUACAUGAAAUCUGGGCUUUGGAUGCAUGUGUGUGUGCAUGCACACAUAUGCACUGUGGUGGGAGUGGGGCAAUUUGGGGAAUAUGUUACAUGUGUGACUUUGUUUUGCCCUGGUGAAGUGAAUAUUGUUCAGAAAGGGUAAAUGUUUGGACACUUGCAAUUGCUCAUGGAUGAAUUUAUAUGUUUUAGUCAUAGAAAAAUUGUACCCUUUGAUAGAAGCACAUUUUCUUUCCAAAGUUGGUUAUUAACCACAGAAUUAUAGCAGUUAUUCAUAACUUAAGUUUGAAAAUCAAUAGCAUCUGCAAACGGAUUAACAGAUUAGAGAAUCAACAGCAUCGGAAAAUAGGUUAAUACAUAUUGCUUCUAACAAGUGCAUGAAGAAAUAGAAGAAGCUAUGUAGCUUUCAGUUCUGACAGAAAGGGGUAAAGGAGGGUAUCAUUUCAAUAAAAAAAUAUAGCUAUGCACACAACAGUUAUCUCCGAAAAUAUUUGUAUUAAGAUGUAUACAUGGCCAGGCAUGGUGGCUCAUGCCUGUAAUCCCAGCACUUUGGGAGGCAGGUGGAUCACGAGGUCAGGAGAUCAAGACCAUCCUGGCCAACAUGGUGAAACCUCAUCUCUACUAAAAACACAAAAAUGAGCGGUGUGUGGUGGCCCAUGCCUGUAGUCCCAGCUGCUCAGGAGACUGAGGCAGGAGAAUCUCUUGAGCCUAGGAAGCGGAGGUUGCAGUGAACCGAGAUCGCGUCACUGCACUCCAGCCUGGUGACAGAGCGAGAUUCCAUCUCAAAAAAAAAAAAAAAAAGUAUACACGUACAAAUUUCUUAACCUGUUAUCAAUGUCUGAGCUACAUAAUUAACUUUCUAGUUGGAGUUUGUUUUAGGUGUGUACCAACUGACAUUUCAGUUUUUCUGUUUGAAGUCCAAUGUAUUAGUGACUCUGUGACUGCUCUCUUCACCUGCCUCUUGUGUCCUGUCUACAAUUCUAAAUGGAUUUUGAACUCAAUGUUGUCGCUUCUGGUUUCCUGCAUGUACCAACAGCAUUACCUGUGACUUUUUUUUCCUGAGCUAUUUUCACUGAGCUGAGCUAAUAAACUAAAACUGAGUUAUGUUUUAUAUUUGUAUCAAAUACAUAAAAGGAACACUGCUUUUUCCUUUUGUGGCUCAAAGGUAGCUGCAUUUUAAAAUAUUUGUGAAAAUAAAAACUUCUGUUAUUAGAAAAAUGA